rnacentral:rRNA from 1 species
GACGAACGCUGGCGGCGUGCUUAACACAUGCAAGUCGAACGGAAAGGCCCUGCUUUUGUGGGGUGCUCGAGUGGCGAACGGGUGAGUAACACGUGAGUAACCUCCCCUUGACUUUGGGAUAACUUCAGGAAACUGGGGCUAAUAUCGGAUAGGAGCUCCUGCUGCAUGGUGGGGGUUGGUAAGUUUCGGCGGUUGGGGAUGGACUCGCGGCUUAUCGGCUUGUUGGUGGGGUAGUGGCUUACCAAGGCUUUGACGGGUAGCCGGCCUGAGAGGGUGACCGGCCACAUUGGGACUGAGGUACGGCCCAGACUCCUACGGGAGGCAGCAGUGGGGAAUAUUACAGAAUGAGCGGAAGCCUGAUACAGCAGCGCCGCGUGCGGGAUAACGGCCUUCGGGUUGUGAACCGCUUUCGCCUGUGACGAAGCGUGAGUGACGGUAAUGGGUAAAGAAGCACCGGCUAACUACGUG